UAUAAGAAUCCUUAUUCGGUGAAGUUUUUACCUUUGCAGAGUAAGUAAUGGUGGGACAAAAAAUGGAGCAAUAUCACUGCAUCGUGUGGACAAGCUGCUAAGAACCCAUGACUAAUUCUAAGAAACACUCAUACUCCAUCGCAAUUUUACAGCAAAUGAAGACCAAUAAUUCACAUUUUCUAUCAAGGGACACAUAAAAAUUACAGGUAUUUAAGGGUCAUCUAAAAAUUUAUGAAUCGGGAUGAAGAACGAAGCAGAGGAAGAACGUAGAGAAUCAGUUGAGCAAAUUCAGAAGAAGAUGAUGGAGACUUAUGAUGAACUGCAAACUAUUUUUAUUUUUUUCUCAACUAGACUAUAAAAAUAUAGUUGAAUUAUAAACUCAAAAAAAUUGGCUUGCAUAUCAGCUUUGGA